rnacentral:misc_RNA from 1 species
CAGAGAACAUGCCUCUCGGGGUAUAUCUCCCACCCUUUGUUUAUAACACCUUUGUUGCUUUGGCAGGCUUUAGUUUAGUCUGUGCCUGCCAAGGACCCUAAAAUUCUGAUAUUAUGCAGUCCGAGUAUGAUGCAAUGAUUUA